GAGAGCCCAAGAUUGAAAGCUGGCGUCUUCGGCGUCCGCAUUGUAAUCUCAAGAAGUGUUUUCCGCUUCGGACCAAGCCUAAGUCCCCUGGAAAGGGGCAUCAUAGAGGGUGAUAAUCCCGUACAUGGCUUGGAGCGCCCGAGGCUUUGUGAUACGCUUUCUAAGAGUCGAGUUGUUUGGGAAUGCAGCUCAAAAUGGGUGGUAAAUGCCAUCUAAGGCUAAAUAUUGGGGAGAGACCGAUAGCGAACAAGUACAGUGAUGGAAAGAUGAAAAGAACUUUGAAAAGAGAGUUAAACAGUACGUGAAAUUGCCAAAAGGGAAGGGUAGGAGGUCAGAGAUGCGGCCUGGGAUUCAGCCUUGCUUUUGCUUGGUGUUUUUCCCAGAUUGCAGGCCAACGUCGGUUUUGGGCACUGGAGAAGGGUAGGAGGAACGUGGCACCCCUCGGGGUGUGUUAUAGCCUCCUACUGGAUACAGCGACCGAGACCGAGGACAGCAACGUACUCGCAAGAGCGGGCCUUCGGGCACCUUUACGCUUAGGGCGUUGGCAUAAUGGCCCUCUACCACCCGUCUUGA
rnacentral:rRNA from 1 species